GCAAAAUCUUCCAUUGCUGCAGCACUAAAAAAAAAAUUAUAAUAAUACAUAAGUAUUUCUGACAAAUCCAAAAAUUCUGUGACAAACCAGACUAGAUGAUUUUUCCUUACUAAGUUAAACAAGAGAAAAAGCUGAUGUUUUUAACUUACUAAUUUCUCAGCUUUCCACCAAGGCUGAAAAAAAGAUCUCACAACUUAUAAAUCAUCCUAGAUAAUAUACAUAUAUAAUAAAUAUAAUAUGGAUAUUAUAAUUAUUAUUAAAAAUUAUCAUAUUUAUUAAUCGAGUAAAACAAUAGAAAUAUAAUUUGAACUUUUUAUAAAAAUACUAAAUUAGUCUCAAUUAUUCAAAUUAUAAUUAUUUAGGUUAUUAUAAUAAUAAAAUAUAUUAUUUUCUUUCAGUUAAUA